AGAGUUUGAUCCUGGCUCAGAACGAACGCUGGCGGCAGGCUUAACACAUGCAAGUCGAACGCAUCCUUCGGGGUGAGUGGCAGACGGGUGAGUAACGCGUGGGAAUAUGCCCUUUGCUACGGAAUAGUCCUGGGAAACUGGGGGUAAUACCGUAUACGCCCUUUGGGGGAAAGAUUUAUCGGCGAAGGAUUAGCCCGCGUUGGAUUAGGUAGUUGGUGGGGUAAUGGCCUACCAAGGCGGCGACGGGUAGCCGGCCUGAGAGGGUGGACGGCCACACUGGGACUGAGACACGGCCCAGACUCCUACGGGAGGCAGCAGUGGGGAAUAUUGCGCAAUGGGCGGAAGCCUGACGCAGCAACGCCGCGUGAGGGAUGACGGCCUUCGGGUUGUAAACCUCUUUCAGCAGGGAAGAAGCGAAAGUGACGGUACCUGCAGAAGAAGCACCGGCUAACUACGUGCAAGCAGCAGCGGUAAUACGGAGGGUGCGAGCGUUAAUCGGAAUUACUGGGCGUAAAGCGAGCGCAGACGGUUACUUAAGCAGGAUGUGAAAUCCCCGGGCUCAACCUGGGAACUGCGUUCUGAACUGGGUGACUAGAGUGUGUCAGAGGGAGGUAGAAUUCCACGUGUAGCAGUGAAAUGCGUAGAGAUGUGGAGGAAUACCGAUGGCGAAGGCAGCCUCCUGGGAUAACACUGACGUUCAUGCUCGAAAGCGUGGGUAGCAAACAGGAUUAGAUACCCUGGUAGUCCACGCCCUAAACGAUGUCAAUUAGCUGUUGGGCAACUUGAUUGCUUAGUAGCGUAGCUAACGCGUGAAAUUGACCGCCUGGGGAGUACGGUCGCAAGAUUAAAACUCAAAGGAAUUGACGGGGACCCGCACAAGCGGU
rnacentral:rRNA from 1 species